rnacentral:rRNA from 1 species
UGGGGAAUCUUGGACAAUGGGCGCAAGCCUGAUCCAGCCAUGCCGCGUGAGUGACGAAGGCCUUAGGGUUGUAAAGCUCUUUUGGCGGGGACGAUAAUGACGGUACCCGCAGAAUAAGCCCCGGCUAACUUCGUGCCAGCAGCCGCGGUAAUACGAAGGGGGCUAGCGUUGUUCGGAAUUACUGGGCGUAAAGCGCACGUAGGCGGAUUUGUCAGUCAGGGGUGAAAUCCCGAGGCUCAACCUCGGAACUGCCUCCGAUACAGCAAGUCUCGAGUCCGGAAGAGGUGAGUGGAAUUCCUAGUGUAGAGGUGAAAUUCGUAGAUAUUAGGAAGAACACCAGUGGCGAAGGCGGCUCACUGGUCCGGUACUGACGCUGAGGUGCGAAAGCGUGGGGAGCAAACAGGAUUAGAUACCCUAGUAGUCCCUGAGCGGGCUGGCAAGGCGCAU